ACCCAGGUGACGAGUCCUAAAUAAGACGAAACGUGCGUCCUGAAU
rnacentral:hammerhead_ribozyme from 1 species